CUGAUAGGAUAACGGGUAAUACGAUUAUGAGGCAAGCUUUUGCAGAAGCUAGCCUAUACAUCGUGUUACCCAUUGUCUCAUCUC
rfam:Haemonchus contortus, ISE/inbred ISE, WGS project CAVP01000000 data, contig: Hcontortus_43981